rnacentral:rRNA from 1 species
GAUGAACGCUAGCGGCAGGCCUAAUACAUGCAAGUCGAGGGGUAGAGGAAGCUUGCUUUCUUGAGACCGGCGCACGGGUGCGUAACGCGUAUGCAACCUACCUUUAUCAGGGGGAUAGCCCGGAGAAAUCCGGAUUAACACCGCAUAAAAUCACAGAACAGCAUGGUUUCAUGAUCAAAUAUUAAUAGGAUAAAGAUGGGCAUGCGUGCCAUUAGCUAGUUGGCGGGGUAACGGCCCACCAAGGCGACGAUGGCUAGGGGCUCUGAGCGGAGAAUCCCCCACACUGGUACUGAGACACGGACCAGACUCCUACGGGAGGCAGCAGUAAGGAAUAUUGGUCAAUGGGGGCAACCCUGAACCAGCCAUGCCGCGUGCAGGAAGACUGCCCUAUGGGUUGUAAACUGCUUUUGUACGGGAAUAACCACUGGUAUGUAUACCAGCCUGAAUGUACCGUAAGAAUAAGGAUCGGCUAACUCCGUGCCAGCCGCCGCCGUAACAC